UAGCACUAGGUGUGUUUAUUUUACUGAGUGUUGCUGCGUGUGUGACCGCUGGGGGUUACGGUGGACACGGGAUUGGUGGUCAUUUAGGGUAUGGGGGUUAUCAACAGUACGUCCAGUACCAGAAACCAAUCUACUACCAACAGCAGCCGGUGUAUGCCGGUGGUUACGGAUCAGACACUGGAUCCAUCAUACCAAUCAUUAUCAUUUUUGUCUUACUUGCUAUCUUUGCUCCACUGUUGAUUGCUUCCUUGACGUUCAGCAAUGAUGCCUUUUAUGAUAGCGUCAGUAAAUAAGAGGAAUAAGAUAUAUUGGGAAAGAGAUACAAACUGAGUAAACAUUGACGUACUCUAUAAAUAAACGACAGCAAUCCUAUUGUGUUUUCUUUAUUCUGUGCUUUGACACAACAUA